rnacentral:rRNA from 1 species
CGGGCUGCACCCCUGCUCUAGUCCCUCGUUGAGUACACUAUUGACCUGCGUAACAGGAAAACAACUACGGAGGCUAUCGCCACACAUAAUCUCGCAUGAUAUUAUAAAAAUCCACUGAUAUCGAUUGCCCUGCUUGUUCAGCUAGAGGAGAUGUAACAGCUAACUAGGCGACGACACAUACCGACCUAGAGUGUAUCGCCACUCUUGUCUGACACACGGCCCAGACCCUACGGAGAGACAGCUGUAGGAACUCUCGGCAAUGGACAAAAUUAGACCGAGCAUCCCCGCGAGAGUGAAGAGGUUUUCGGAUCGUAAAUCUCUUUGUAAGAGGAGAACGGGUGAGAGAGUGAAAAGAUCACUCUGUGACGGUAUCUUCCCAGAAAGGCACGGCUAUCUACGCCCAGCAGCCGCGGUAAUACGUAGGUCCCGAGCGGUGUCCGGAUUUAUUGGGCGUAAAGAGAGCGCAGGCGGUUAGAUAAGUCUGAAGUUAAAGGCUGUGGCUUAACCAUAGUACGCUUUGGAAACUGUUUAACUUGAGCGCAGAAGGGGAGAGUGGAAUUCCAUGUGUAGCGGUGAAAUGCGUAGAUAUAUGGAGGAACCCCGGUGGCGAAAGCGGCUCUCUUGUCUGUAACUGACGCUGAGGCUCGAAAGCGUGGGGAGCGCACAGG